rnacentral:rRNA from 1 species
UGUGACUGCGUACCUUUUGUAUAAUGGGUCAGCGACUUAUAUUCUGUAGCAAGGUUAACCGUAUAGGGGAGCCGGAGGGAAACCGAGUCUUAAUUGGGCGUUAAGUUGCAGGGUAUAGACCCGAAACCCGGUGAUCUAGCCAUGGGCAGGUUGAAGGUUGGGUAACACUAACUGGAGGACCGAACCGACUAAUGUUGAAAAAUUAGCGGAUGACCUGUGGCUGGGGGUGAAAGGCCAAUCAAACCGGGAGAUAGCUGGUUCUCCCCGAAAGCUAUUUAGGUAGCGCCUCGUGAAUUCAUCUCCGGGGGUAGAGCACUGUUUCGGCUAGGGGGCCAUCCCGGCUUACCAACCCGAUGCAAACUGCGAAUACCGGAGAAUGUUAUCACGGGAGACACACGGCGGGUGCUAACGUCCGUCGUGAAGAGGGAAACAACCCAGACCGCCAGCUAAGGUCCCAAAGUCAUGGUUAAGUGGGAAACGAUGUGGGAAGGCCCAGACAGCCAGGAUGUUGGCUUAGAAGCAGCCAUCAUUUAAAGAAAGCGUAAUAGCUCACUGGUCGAGUCGGCCUGCGCGGAAGAUGUAACGGGGCUAAACCAUGCACCGAAGCUGCGGCAGCGACGCUGAUGCGUUGUUGGGUAGGGGAGCGU